AUGGCCACAUCAUGUUGAAACAUUGGUUCCCGUAUGAUCACGGAAAUUAAACAAUGUUAAGCCUAGUCAGUACGUAGAUGGGUGACCCUUUGGUAAUAUCAGGUGCUGUAA